UGCUAGUUCAGGCGGUAGAGCAUGAAACUCUUAAUCUCAGGACCAUGGGUUCGAGCCCCAUGUUGGCAA